UACGUAGGGUGCGAGCGUUGUCCGGAAUUAUUGGGCGUAAAGAGCUCGUAGGCGGUCUGUCGCGUCAGCUGUGAAAACCCGGAGCUCAACUCCGGGCCUGCAGUCGAUACGGGCAGACUGGAGUUCGGCAGGGGAGACUGGAAUUCCUGGUGUAGCGGUGAAAUGCGCAGAUAUCAGGAGGAACACCGGUGGCGAAGGCGGGUCUCUGGGCCGAUACUGACGCUGAGGAGCGAAAGCGUGGGGAGCGAACAGG
rnacentral:rRNA from 1 species